AAUUCUUCCUAAGCCGGUGACAGGCAAUUCAGUCACAAAGAAACAGAUCUGAUUGUACAACAUUCAGAAAUCACAAAUCCCCACCCUUGUCAGUUCUUGGAAACUCGCUGUCAUCGAUCUGACUUAAACACUGAACAACAAAUGGCAAGCCGAUCUGGUGCCAUGGAUGGAGUGGGCACUAGCAGACAGAGGAGGAACCCAGUGUUGGUCAGGCCAAACGCCGCGAAGCGCCACCUGCAGCAGCGGCAGCAGGAGGCUGAUCUGAAUGACAGGAAGGUCAUUGCGUCGACUUACUUCAGCAUCGGAGCGUUCCUCGUGCUCGCCUGCCUCACCGUAUCAUUGCUGAUACUGCCGUUGGUACUGCCUCCAUUGCCGCCACCUCCAUCGCUGCUGCUAUGGCUGCCAGUCUGCCUGCUCAUCCUACUGAUUGUGCUGGCCUUCAUGCCAACCGAUGUGAGGAGCAUGGCCUCCUCUUACUUGUAAAUAUGUCUACUGCCCUCGAGGCAAUUUUUUUUUGGUAUUUCGACUAAGACGAUUCCAAUGUGAAGCAUCUUUUCAGGAGUAGAUUCUGAGUGAAGAAGUUU
rnacentral:lncRNA from 1 species